rnacentral:rRNA from 1 species
UACAGAGGUCUCAAGCGUUGUUCGGAAUCACUGGGCGUAAAGGGUGCGUAGGCCGCACGGUAAGUCAGGUGUGAAAGCCCGGAGCUCAACUCCGGAAUUGCACCCGAUACUGCCGUGCUUGAGGACUGGAGAGGAGAUUGGAAUUCGCAGUGGAGCGGUGAAAUGCGUAGAUAUUGUGAGGAACACUAGUGGCGAAGGCGAAUCUCUGGACAGUUCCUGACGCUGAGGCACGAAGGCCAGGGGAGCAAACGGG